GACGAACGCUGGCGGCGUGCUUAACACAUGCAAGUCGAGCGGAAAGGCCCUUCGGGGUACUCGAGCGGCGAACGGGUGAGUAACACGUGGGCAACCUGCCCCUAGCUCUGGGAUAACUCCGGGAAACCGGGGCUAAUACCGGAUACGAUCUUCCAUGGCAUCUCGGAAGAUGGAAAGUUUUUCGGCUAGGGAUGGGCCCGCGGCCUAUCAGCUUGUUGGUGAGGUAACGGCCCACCAAGGCGACGACGGGUAGCCGGCCUGAGAGGGCGACCGGCCACACUGGGACUGAGACACGGCCCAGACUCCUACGGGAGGCAGCAGUGGGGAAUAUUGCGCAAUGGGCGAAAGCCUGACGCAGCGACGCCGCGUGAGGGAUGAAGGCCUUCGGGUUGUAAACCUCUUUCAGCAGGGACGAAGCGAGAGUGACGGUACCUGCAGAAGAAGCACCGGCCAACUACGUGCCAGCAGCCGCGGUAAUACGUAGGGUGCAAGCGUUGUCCGGAAUUAUUGGGCGUAAAGAGCUCGUAGGCGGUCUGUCGCGUCGGCUGUGAAAACUCGGGGCUCAACCCCGAGCCUGCAGUCGAUACGGGCAGACUAGAGUGCUGUAGGGGAGACUGGAAUUCCUGGUGUAGCGGUGAAAUGCGCAGAUAUCAGGAGGAACACCGGUGGCGAAGGCG
rnacentral:rRNA from 1 species